rnacentral:rRNA from 1 species
AUUGAACGCUGGCGGCAGGCCUAACACAUGCAAGUCGGACGGUAGCACAGAGAGCUUGCUCUCGGGUGACGAGUGGCGGACGGGUGAGUAAUGUCUGGGAAACUGCCCGAUGGAGGGGGAUAACUACUGGAAACGGUAGCUAAUACCGCAUAACGUCUUCGGACCAAAGUGGGGGACCUUCGGGCCUCACACCAUCGGAUGUGCCUAGAUGGGAUUAGCUGGUAGGUGGGGUAAUGGCUCACCUAGGCGACGAUCCCUAGCUGGUCUGAGAGGAUGACCAGCCACACUGGAACUGAGACACGGUCCAGACUCCUACGGGAGGCAGCAGUGGGGAAUAUUGCACAAUGGGCGCAAGCCUGAUGCAGCCAUGCCGCGUGUAUGAAGAAGGCCUUCGGGUUGUAAAGUACUUUCAGCGGGGAGGAAGGCGAUGAGGUUAAUAACCGCAUCGAUUGACGUUACCCGCAGAAGAAGCACCGGCUAACUCCGUGCCAGCCGCCGCCGUAACAC